AGACAGAAGAGGACUUUCAGUGAUCUUGAGAAAUCUUCACAAAAACGAUGUUGUUGCUCUGUCUGUUCAUACCUUUCAAUUACUUUGGUGAAACUACUGGGUAUUCAAUCAAACCAGACA